rnacentral:rRNA from 1 species
AGUGAACGCUGGCGGUAGGCCUAACACAUGCAAGUCGAACGGCAGCACAGGAGAGCUUGCUCUCUGGGUGGCGAGUGGCGGACGGGUGAGGAAUACAUCGGAAUCUACCUUUUCGUGGGGGAUAACGUAGGGAAACUUACGCUAAUACCGCAUACGACCUACGGGUGAAAGUGGGGGACCGCAAGGCCUCACGCGAUUAGAUGAGCCGAUGUCCGAUUAGCUAGUUGGCGGGGUAAUGGCCCACCAAGGCGACGAUCGGUAGCUGGUCUGAGAGGAUGAUCAGCCACACUGGAACUGGGACACGGUCCAGACUCCUACGGGAGGCAGCAGUGGGGAAUAUUGGACAAUGGGCGCAAGCCUGAUCCAGCCAUACCGCGUGGGUGGAGAAGGCCUUCGGGUUGUAAAGCCCUUUUGUUGGGAAAGAAAUCCUGUCGAUUAAUACUCGGUGGGGAUGACGGUACCCAAAGAAUAAGCACCGGCUAACUUCGUGCCAGCAGCCGCAGUAAUAC